rnacentral:tRNA from 1 species
GUUAUUUAAGUGUAUUUUAAUAGAUUUAAUGAAAGGUAAAGUUAUUAAAAUAAAA